GGGAGAAACAUUUUCCAUUGAUCCGAUAUCACUGAUGUUUCUCCUGAGCUUUGCUGUACUGCUGUUUAUGCAGUUUUUUGCGAUGCUUUACCACAGAAUCUACACAUUAAUCCAUUUUGUGGCCUAUGUUGACACAGAAACUAAGGCUAUAAGAAAACGGUCAUAUGAGGAGAGUCAUGAAUGUGACCAAAACGUAUUAUUUCAGGCUUCUAAAGGUUUGAAAACGGACCCCCAAUAUGGGAUGAAUCUUGACACAUCUUUAUGCAUACAGAACCCAUCUGCUGUUGAAGAUCCGGCAAGGGUAGUAUGAACUGAUGCUUACCUCAAAUAAUGUGUGAUAACGGACAUUAUAUUGGACAGUUUUUUCCAAGAAGUCUCUCAAAGGCAUAAGAAAUUUCCAAGUACUGUUCAAAUUUUGAGUGAUAUAUCAAUGAAAUAAGACAUGUUCAAAACUACUGCAUUUAUUUUUCAUUCAUGUACAUACUGCUUUACUAAUUGUACUCAGUAUUGUCCUUCCUUUUAUCUGUUAAAAUGUGCUAUUGUUUACAUAAAACUACUGAAAGAGACAAUUAUUUAAAAUAAAAGUAACAAGCAAACAAAAUGCAACGUCUUUUUACCUCAAACACAAACGGCACAUCCUAUCUAGUAGACC